ACUUGGAUAACUGUGGUAAUUCUAGAGCUAAAACACACACAGAAGCUCAGACAAUACGGGACGAGCGCAUUUAUUAGAACAAAACCAAUCGGGCUUCGGCCAGUAUGUUGGUGACUCUGAAUAACUACGCUGAUCGCACGGUCUCGUACCGGCGACGCAUCCUUCAAGUGUCUGCCUUAUCAACUGUCGAUGGUAGUUUAUGUGCCUACCAUGGUUGUAACGGGUAACGGAGAAUAAGGGUUCGACUCCGGAGAGGGAGCCUGAGAAACGGCUACCACAUCCAAGGAAGGCAGCAGGCGCGCAAAUUACCCACUCUCAGCACGAGGAGGUAGUGACGAAAAAUAACGAGACGGAUCUCUAUGAGGCCCGUUAUCGGAAUGAGAACAAUCCAAAUCCUUUAACGAGGAUCUAGCGGAGGGCAAGUCUGGUGCCAGCAGCCGCGGUAAUUCCAGCUCCGCAGGUGUAUAUCUAUGCUGCUGUGGUUAAAAAGCUCGUAGUUGGAUCUGCGUGCUCGGAACUGGUUGGCUCACUGAGUCCGAACUAGUCUCCGGCGCUUUAUCCGCUGGUUUUCCCUUGAUGCUCUUAACCGGGUGUCUUGGGUGGCUAGCACGUUUACUUUGAAAAAAUUAGAGUGCUCAAUACAGGCGCAAAGCCUUGAAUAGUGGUGCAUGGAAUAAUAGAAUAGGACCUCGGUUCUAUUUUGUUGGCUUUCGGAAUACGAGGUAAUGAUUAACAGGGACAGACGGAGGCAUUCGUAUUGCGACGUGAGAGGUGAAAUUCUUGAAUCGUUGCAAGACGAACGACUGCUAAAGCAUUUGCCAAGAAUGUUUUCAUUAAUCAAGAACGAAAGUUAGAG
rnacentral:rRNA from 1 species